rnacentral:lncRNA from 1 species
AUCUGGAGUUGCUCAAAUGGAGUGGCUGUGGCCAUCUUUCCUUACACGUGGGGAGGAAUCAGCCUGAGAAUGAAACCAUCACAGGAAAGGGCUGAAAGACGGCAAGUUUUCACUGGGUCUUACCCGACGUGAGCCCCCACUCCUCCAUAUGGACCUGUUUUGGACCAAUGAGGCAUCCUCUUCUGUAGUCCUCAACACGCGGAGCUCCACCACUCCUGAGCAGUGUGACCUCAGGUGGGGUUGGGGAGAGGCCUCGGGAUGGCAAGGACCAGGGUCUGCGGCCAAGCCUGUGGGUCCUGUCUCCCUCUAGGAUGCCCCUGGGACACUGGUACCCAUGGAUGCACUGGGUGACUUGAGGUGCUUGCUGCAGAGGCAUCGGGGGUCUCUGGCCAGAGGUGACAUCUGAAGCAAUCGGGAUCCUGUUUGGUUUUGCCACAUCCGACCUGCCGCCCAGCUGGGGCAAGACAGCCACGCGCGGCGGAUGCACCGGCCCUGAACUCUUUCUCGAGUAGUCCCCAGAGAUUUCAGGAAGAGAGAGAAGAGGUAAAGAGACCAGAAACAAAGUCUUCUGCAAGCAAAGAACUGCAACAGGCCCCAGCUGUUAGGUUUGAGGGGCGUAUGGGGCAGGCGACUGAACUGCAGAGUUGGAGCCAGAGGUACCAUUGCUGACCCCUGAGCCCAGGAGCCUUGAGAAUACUGACAGUGUUAAUAAUAACUGCAAUCAUCCAACAUAUGAUGCUAGAAUAACUGGACAUCUGUGUGCAAAAAUAUUAAACCUAUACCUUGCACCUUAUCACAAAAUUCACUCAAAAUAGAUCAUAGACCAAAAUGUGAAACAUAAAACUAAGACUUCCAGGGGAAAACAGGAGAAAAUCUUUGUGACUUUGGGGUUAGGCAAAGCUUUUUGCUAAAGACAUUGAUAAGAGAUUGAAAAAACAAGCAGAUUGCCAGAUGAUCUUUGCAAAACAUGUAUCUGAUAAAAGACUUGUAGCCAGAACAUAUAAAGAACUCUCUUUUUUUCUUCGUUGUUCUUUUUUUUUUUUUUUUGAGAUGGAGUCUCACUUUGUCGCCCAAGCUAGAGUGCAGUGGGGCAAUCUCAGCUCACUGCACCCUCUGCCUCCUGGGUUCAAGCAAUUCUCCUGCCUCAGCCUCCCAAGUAGCUGGGAUUAUAGGGCAUGCGCCACCAUGCCCAGCUAAUUUUUUUUUUUUUUUUUGAGACGGAAUCUCGCUCUUAUUGCCAGGCUGGAGUGCAGUGGUGCGAUCUUGGCUCACUGCAACCUCCAACUCCCUGGUUCAAGCGAUUCUCCUGCCUCAGCCUCCCGAGAACCUGGGAUUACAGGCACACUCCACCACGCCCAGCUAAUUUUUAUAUUUUUGGUAGAGAUGGGGUUUUGCCAUAUUGGCCAGGCUGGUCUCGAACUCCUGACCUCAAGCAAUCCGCCCAUCUCGGCCUCCCAAAGUGCUGGGAUUACAGGUGUGAGUCACCACACCCAGCCUCUUUUUCCUUUUCUUUCUUUCUUUUUUUUUUUUUGAGACAGGGCCUUGCUCUGAGCUGGAGUGCAGUGGUGUGAUCACGGCUCACUGCAGCCUCAACCUCCCGGGCUCAGGUGAUCCACCCACCUCAGUCCCCCAGGUAGCUGUGAUCAUGCCACUGCACUCCAGCCUGGGCGACAGAGCAAGACCCUAUCUCUAAAUUUUAAAAAAGUGCAAAAAUCUGGAUGUAAAUAUUUACACUGGUCUUAUUCAUAACCACCAAAAACUAGAAACAACUAAAAUGGCUUCAACUGGUAAAUGUAUAAACACGCAGUGGUACGUUCAUAAAAUGAAAUACUAUGCAGCAAUAAAAAGGAAUGAGCUACAGAUACAUGCAGCAGCAGGGCAGAAUCUCAGAUGUAUUAUGCUAAGUGAGAGAAGCCACACUCAAGGCUACUUUUUGAAGGAUUCUGUUCCGGAAAAGGCAAAACAAUGGGAACAAGAAACAGAUGGGUAGUUGCCAGGGACUAGAAUGCAGAGAGGGACUGACUACAAAGGGCAAGUGGGAACUGGGGGUGACGAUGGGUACUGGAACUGGUGUGUGUGUGUGUGUGUGUGUGUUUGUGUUUGUAUACGUGUCUAUGUAUGUAUAUGCGUGUGUGUAUAUUUUUUAAGAGACAAGGUCUUGUUCUGUCAUCCAGUCUGGAGUGUAAUGGCACGAUCAUAGCUCACUGCAGCCUCGAACUUCUGGGCUCAAGGGAUUCUCCUGCCUCAGCUGCCCGAGUGGCUGGGACCACAGGCUCAUGCCACCAUGCCUGGCUAAUUUUUAAUUUUUUUGUACCAACAGGAUCUUGCCAUCUUGCCCAAGUUGGUUUCCAACUCCUGGGCUCCAGCGAUCCUCCCCCCUCAGCCUCCCAAAGUGCUGGGAUUACAAGUGUGAGCCACUGUGCCUGUCCUGUCCUAUAUCUUUUUUUUUUUUUUUUGACAGAGUCUCACUCUGUCGCCCAGGCUGGAGUGCAGUGGUGCAAUCUUGGCUCACUGCAACCUCCGUGUCCCAGGUUAAAGCAAUUCUGCCUCAGCCUCCCAAGUAGCUGGGAUUACAAGCUCAUGCCACCACGCCCAGCUAAUUCGUGUAUUUCACCAUGUUGGCCAGGCUGGUCUUGAACUCCUGACCUCAAAUGAUCCACAUGCCUCAGCCUCCCAAAGUGCUGGGAUUACAGGCAUGAGCCACCGCGCCCGGCCCUGUCUUAUAUCUUGAUUGCGGUAGUGUUCACUUGACUGUAUAUGUUUGUCAAAACUCCUGGAACUGUACAUUAAAAAGAACUUUUCCAGGUGCAGUGGCUCAUGCCUGUAAACCCAGCACUUUGGGAGGCUGAGGCAGGCGGAUCAUUUGAGGUCUGGAGUUCAAGACCAGCCUGGCCAACAGGGCGAAAACCCGUCUCUACUAAAAAUACAAAAAUUAGCCGGGCAUGGUGGCAUGUGCCUAUAGUCCCAGCUACUCGGGAGGCUGAGGCAGGAGAAUCGCUUGAACCCAGGAGGUGGACGUUGCAGUGAGCUGAGAUUGUGCCACUGCACUCCAGCCUGGGCAACAGAGUGGGAUUCUGUCUCAAAAUAAAUAAAUACAUAAAUGAAUAAAGAGGACAGUCAGACUGUGCACAGUGGCUCAUGCUUGUAAUCCCAGCACUUUGGGAGCCCAAGGCAGGAGGAUCCCUUGAGCCCAGGAAUUCUUUUUUUUUUUUUUUUUUUUUUUCUUGAGGCAGAGUCUAAUUCUGUCGCCAGCCAGGUUGGAGUGCAGUGGUGAUCUCGGCUCACUGCAAUCUCCGACUCCCAGGUUCAAGCGAUUCUCCUGCCUCAGCCUCCCGAGUAGCUGAGAUUACAAGCGUGUGCCAUCACGCCCGACUAAUUUUUGUAUUUUUAGUAGAGACGGGGUUUCACCAUGUUGGCCAGGAUGGUCUUGAUCUCCUGACCUUGUGAUCCGCCCGCCUCGGCGUCCCAAAGUGCUGGGAUUACAGGCGUGAGCCACUGCACCCGGCCAGAGCCCAGGAAUUCAAGACCAGCCUGGGCAACAUAGGGAGACCAUGUCUCUAUAAAAAAAUUAAAUAAUAUAAAAAUAAAGAGGAUAGUUGCUCCUGAGCUCCAGCUGCUGACACGUGGAAAUAAGGGCCCGGUAUUGUCAGGUGUUCUGAUAGUACAGGAAAAUCCUAACUUUUCUUUUUUGAGACAGAGUGUUGCUCUGUCACCCAGGCUGAAGUAUAAUGGCGUGAUCUCAGCUCACUGCAACCUCCGCCUCCCGGGUUCAAGCGAUUCUCCUGUCUCAGCCUGCCGAGUAGCUGGGACUACAGGCAUGGGCCACCACGCCCGGCUAAUUUUUGUAUUUUUAGUAGAGACGGGGUUUCACCAUGUUGUCCAGGCUGAUCAACUUCUGACCUCAAAUGAUCCACCCACCUUGGCCUCCCAAAGUGCUGGGAUUAUAGGCGUGAGCCACCGGCGCCCAGCCAAUCCUAACAUUCUAAUGUCUAUAAUAUGAAAUGUCAUGAUUUUUACAAUGUUAGCAAAUCAUUCAAAAUUUUAGUAAACUGUCUAGAUGUUAGUUUUUACUAUGGUAAAAACAUCGGCCAGGCGCGGUGGCUCAUGCCUCUAAUCCCAGCACUUUGGGAGGCCGAGGCGGGCGGAUCACAAGGUCAAGAGAUCGAGACCAUCCUGGCUAACACAGUGAAACCCCGUCUCCACUAAAAAUACAGAAAACUAGCCAGGUGUGGUGGCAGGCGCUUGUAAUCCCAGCUACGGGAGGCUGAGGCAGGAGAAUGGUGCGAACCCGGGAGGCGGAGGUUGCAGUGAGCCGAGAUUGGGCCACUGCACUCCAGCCUGGACGACAGAGCAGACUCCAUCUCAAAAAAAAAAAAAAUGGUCACCCCUUUUGCUCCUAAAUCACCCUCAAAGUAAAAGAGAACAAGAAACAGAAGCAGAAAUCCAUAUUUAGUGAAAUAAGACAACACCUGUAGCUCCAAACCUGUAGAAGCAGAUCCCAGAGAAAAGCAGGCCAGUUCUCUCCUGGAAUCCCAGAAAGUCCCAGGAAUUGGAGGCUUCAGUGCUGCAGUAGGGAGGGGACUAAAAACAAAGUCUGUAUAUGGAGCAGUAAGACCUCCGGGUUCUCAUCCCCCAUCCUGUGUGCUCUCGGGUGACUAGCCCUCUCCCUCUCCAGGUUUAGCUUCUGGAGAAAUUAAAUCAAAGAGGCUCUAGAACUGGGGAUGGCAGGCAUUGAGUGCAGGGAGUGAGUUGCCAGAGGCUGAGAGCAGAGAGAUUUAGUGGCAGUGGGCAGAGCAAACAGCAAAAUGACUGCCCUCUUCCCUGGCCUUGCUCCAGAAACUGAGCAGCCAGACAUACACACUCCCAGAAGGCAGUUGGAGGUCCCCCCGGGCAAUCAGAACCACCCACAGAGAAGACCUCCAGAUACUGACAUUUAGAAGCCUCUGACCAAAGAGCUGCCUGGCCACCCACUGGCUUACUCGCUGACAGGCCAUGCUCCUGCCGUACACACCGAUCCUAUCAGUCAUCCUCAUGGGCUCCUUUCCAGACUUCUGAGGAAAGCUUCCAACAUGAAGAGGGAGUUCAAAACAAACAGAGAGAGAGAGAGAGAGAGAGAGAAAAGAAAUAUAAACAAUGCAGGGAGCAAAAGAUAACUUCAAAUAAACUCAAAAUAUUCUUCUGGGAGAGAUGAGACAAUAUUGCAUACAUAAAACAAGAAGAGGAUGCUAUCACUAAAUUUUAAAAAAAAGUAACAGAAAGUAAGAAAGACCUCUAAGAAAUGUUUCUGAAAUGAGGUAUAAUUUUUUUUUUUUUGAGAGGGAGUCUUACUCUGUCACCCAGGCUGGAGCGCAGUGGCGUGAUCUCAGCUCACUGCAACCUCCGUCUCCCAGGUUCAAGCGAUUCUCGUGCCUCAGUGCCCCGAGUAGCUGGAAUUACAGGUACACACCACCACGCCUGGCUAAUUUUUGUAUUUUUAGUAGAGGCGGGGUUUACACCAUGUUGGCCAGGCUGGUGUCAAACUCCUGACCUCAGGUGAUCCACCUGCCUUGGCUUCCCAAAGUGCUAGGAUUACAGGCGUGAGCCACUGGACCUGGCGAAAACUCUUUUUUUAAUCAUAACUUUAAAAACCCAGUUUUAAGUUUUAUUUUUUGUGCUACACUGUUUCUUGUGUUCCAUAUCGUUCUCGUACUUGAAUUUCAUUUUUGUCUUCUUGGAGAGAACAACCUCUAGUAGUAAUUCUUUCUAAUGUGGCCAAUGGAUGAAAAGACUAUUUUACCUUCUAUCCUCUAAAAUUUAUUGAGGUGACAAUAUAAGGAGCUCAAACAACUCUACAGGAAAAAAAAUCUAAUCAUCUGAUUUAAAAUGGGCAAAAGAACUGAAUAGACAUUUAUCAAAAGAAGACAUACAAAUGGCAAACAGGUAUAUGAAAAGAUGCUCAACAUCACUGAUCAUCAGAGUAAUGCAAAUCAAAACUACAACGAGGCCAGGUGUGACGGCUCACACCUGUAAUCCCAGCACUCUGGGAGGGUGAGGUGGGAGGAUCACUUAAGCCCAGGAGUUCAAGACCAGCCUGGGCAACAUGGGGAGACCCAGUCUCUACAAAAAAUUAAUAAAUUGGCCAGGUGUAAUGGCACAUACCUGUAGUCCAAGCUACUCUGGAGGCUGAAGUGGGAGGAUCACUUGAGUCCAGGAGGUAAAGGAUGCAGUAAGCCUUGAUUGUAUUACUGCACUCCAGCCUGGGCAACACAGUAAGACCCUGUCUCAAAACAAACAAACAAAACAACAACACACUAAAUGAGAAAUCAUCUGUAUUAGUCCAUUUUCACACUACUGAUAAAGGCAUACCCGAGACUGAGCAACUUACAAAAGAAAGAGGUUUAAGGGACUCACAGUUCCAUGUGGCUGGGGAGGCCUCACAAUCAUGGUGGAAGGUGAAAGACACAUCUCACAUGGCCGCAGACAAGAGAAGAGAGCUUGUGCAGGGAAACUCCCCUUUUUAAAAAUCAUCAGAUCUCAUGAGACUUAUUCACUAUCACUAGAACAGCACAGGAAAGGCCUGCCCCCCAUGAUUCAAUUACCUCCACCGGGUCCCUCCCACAACACAUGGGAAUUCAAGAUGAGAUUUGGGUGGGGACACCCAAAUCAUAUCAUCAUCUCACCCCAGUUAAACCAUAUCAUCAUCUCACUCCAGUUAAUGCAGCUCUUGGCUGGGCACAGUGGCUUGUGUCUGUAAUCCCGGCACUUUGGGAGGCCAAGGUAAGCAGACAAUUUAAGUUCAGGAGUUCCAGAGCAGCCUGGUGAACAUAGUGAAACCCUGUCUUUACUAAAAAUACAAAAUUUAGCUGGGCAUGGUGGCGGGCCCCUGUAAUCCCAGCUACUCUGGAGGAUGAGGCAGGAGAAUUGCUUGAACUGAGAGGAGGUUCAUAAAAUAAAAAUAAAGGCUGUGUUUGUAUCGCUGGGAAAUUUUCUUUUAUUGCUGCUUUGGUUAUUUCCUCUCUUGUUUACUUCUUUCUUUCUGUAACUAUCUAGAUGGAUCCUCCAUGUCACAACUUCUCUUUUCCUUUUGGCAGUUUUCUGGGAGAAACCCUCAGUUUGUUUAUUUAUUUUGAGAUGGAGUUCGCUCUUGUUGCCCAGGCUGGAGUGCAAUGGCGUGAUCUCGGCUCACCAAAACCUCUGCCUCUUGGGUUCAAGUGAUUCUCCUGCCUCAGCUUCCUGAGUAGCUGGGAUUACAGGCAUGCGCCACCAUGCCUGGCUAAUUUUGCAUUUUUAGUAGAGACGGGGUUUCACCAUGUUGGCCAGGCUGGUCUGAAACUCCCGACCUCAGGUGAUCUGCCCACCUCAGCCUCCCAAAGUGCUGGGAUUACAGGCAUGAGCUACCGUGCCUGGCCUGUGUAUUUUUGGAGACAGAGUCUUGCUCUGUUGCCCAGGCUGGAGGGCAGUGGUGCAAACUCUGCCUCCCGGGUUCAAGCGAUUCUCGUGCGUCACCUCCCAAGUAGCUGGGGCUAGAGGCAUGUGCCACCAUGUCUGGUUACUUUUUAUAUAAACCUUCAGUUUAAUCUUUUAGCUUACUGCUGUGUUUUUCAGCUUUAUUCACUUUGCUUUUUUUCUAUAUUUUCGUUUCAACUCAACUUUUAAAAAAUCAUACUUGUAUAUUUGUAUAUUUAUAUUUAUUUUCCAAGACCUCAUUUGCCUCUUUUUCAUAAUGGGCUAUUAUUGCUCCAUGGUACAGAAUCUUCUGUUCUUUCCUAAACUAUUAGUUAUUUUUAAAAUAUUUGUUAACUUUCUCCCCCUUGCUAGUUCUCAGGUACCCGCUUUCUCCCAGAGUGCUGGCUUUCCUUAAUUAUUUGCUGACUUGUGCUGGUGUGUAACCCUUCAUACUUAGGUAUUUCUAUUUGUCUGACUGCUGAUUUGAUUCCAAUCCAGUGUUUCUUCUGAUUCGUGGAGAAGAGACGACAACGCUGUGAGGCUCUGGUUUUGGUGGCUUGUCUGGGUGUGGGAGCUCCUUGUCAUCAUGGGAUUUUUAGCUCCCUGGGUCGCCAUCCUACAUGGCCACUCUCCUGCCGAUGCUGCCCGCUACUCAGCAGGAGGGGAAGUCGAGACCACCUCCUUAACCUUACAGACAUUGAUUGUGAGCUUGGAGCACCUUCCGUGACUGGACCACCCAUGCAGUGGUCCUUUGCUUUUUGCAUUUUUAACUGCAAUUUUCCCCAAGAGUCUUCCCUAAUACAGUCUCUUAGGAAUUGACGGUGGGAUUAAACAAGGCAUGUUUCUGCACUGAAUAUGGUCUAUGGGUUGCCACUUUGCAACCUCAGCUUUAAGGCUUAUUUCCUCCCAGGAAACUGAUGUUAACUUUUUAAGUUAAAAAUGUGUAUAUAAGUAAUACAUGUUUAUUUUGGAAAUUAGAAAAUACAGGCCAGGUGUGGUGGCUCAUGCCUGUAAUCCCAGCAUUUUGGGAGGUUGAGGCAGGAGGAUUGCCUGAGCCCAGGAGUUUGAGACCAGCCUGGGCAACAUAGGGAAAUUCCAUCUCUACAAAAAAAUUAAACAUUAGCUGGGUGUGGUGGUGCCCACCUGUGGUCACAGCUACUCGGGAGACUGAGGUGGGAGGAUAGCUUGGGCAGGGGAGGUUGAGGCUACAGUGAGCCACGAUCACACCAAUGUGACACAGUGAGACCCUGUCUCAAAAAAAAAAAAAAAGAAAGAAAAUAUAGGUAAACACAAAGACAAAAAAGCAGGGCAUGGUGGCUCACACCUGUAAUUCUAGCACCUUGGGAGGCUGAGGCAGGAGGAUCACUUGAGGUCAGGAACUCGAGACGAGACCAGGCUGGGCAGCAUGGCGAGACCCCAUCUCUAUAAAAAGUACAAAAAUUAGCAGGGCACGGUGGUGUGCACCUGUGGUCCUGCUACUUGGGAAGUUGAGGUGGGAGGAUCACCUGAGCCCUGGAGGUUGAGGGUGCUGUGAGCCAUGAUGGCACCACUCCACUCCAGUCCAGGUGAAAGAGCCAGAUCCUGUCUCAAAAAAAAAAAAAAAAAAAAGUGGCUGGGCAUGUAAACUUACCAAGGACCAAGGAGACAAGUCUUGAGAGAAAGGAAGGCAACUCAAAGGAUGGACUUUUAAACACUUGUAACCAGCAUUGGGAACAGUAGUAGGUUGAAGAGGGAAAUCUAGAACUCAUGCCUGAAAACUGCCAGUCAUCCAGCCCAUUUUUCCAUACAGACAUUUGGAAAUAAGUUAAUGGAGCCAUUUUGGUGAGAGCCCUCUGUUCCCUUCAGGAGGCCUUUGUCAGGAAGAGGGUGGGGCAGGGGACUCACCCCCCACUCAAAUCUGGAACUGAAACCAGCUUCAAAGCCGAGUGCAGAGCCAGCGCGGUGGCUCAUGCCUGUCAUCCCAGCACUUUGGGAGUCCAAGGCAGGCCUCACUUGAGGUCAGGAGUUCCAGACCGGCCUGGCCAACAUGGUGAUUGCACCACUGCGCUACAGCCUUGGGUGACAGAGCAAGACUCUGUCUCAAAAAACAAAACAACAAUAAAACAAAGCAGAGUGCAGGAGUGGCUGUGGACUCUGGACGCCCUGCUAGGAUUAGGAUGGGUGUUCCUGGCUCAUGGGCCUCACUGGCUCUUCUGAUGCCCUGCCACCCCCACCCCAGACUGGCUUUGAGCCCCGGAAACCUUGACAGCUUUCUAGAGGUGUCUGUCAGUUAGGUUGUGCCACGCGAAGUUGCCGUUUCUGCAGGUCAAAUAGUGGUGGACUAUUGGCAAUUUCUAGGCACCUCUGGUCUGGUUGAUCCAAAUCCUCCAACCUGUGGCACAUUUAUUUAGCGCUCAUUUUGUGCCAGCCUGCCUGCUAAGCAACUUAUAGCCAUUUUUAUUUGUAUUUAUUUUUCUUUUUGAGACAGGGCCUCGCUCUGUCGCCCAGGCUAGAGUGCAAUGGCGCAAUCUCGGCUCACUGCAACCUCCACCUCCCGGAUUCAAGCGAUUCUCCUGCCUCAGCCUCCCGAGUAGCUGGGAUUACAGGGGUGCACCACUACGACCGGCUAAUUUUUGUUAUUUUUAGUAGAGACAGGGUUUCACCGUGUUGGCCUGGCUGGUCUUGAACUUCUGGCCUCAAGUGAUCCACCCGCCUCGGCCUCCAAAAGUGCUAGGAUUACAGGCAUGAGCCACCGCGCCCCACUAUAGCCAUUUUUAAACUGUCCCAAGUUUCUGAGGAAACGGAAUUGUUCACCAUUUGACAGAGAAGAAAACUCUGGCUCAGAUACUCCCCUUUUAGAAUUGUUUCGGGGGCUGGCUCGUCCGUCAAACUUUAAAAAAAUAACAACAGCAUGCUGAGUUGAAGUUAAAAGAGCUGGGGUCUGGAGGUCGCUGGGCUCAGGGGCGCUGCCACUCAACAGCUGCGCCGAGCUGGGGACGCGCAGGGGAAGCAAGUUCCCAGCUCUGUGGACUCCAGGUCUGAGAAAAAUCCUGUCGGUAUUCAGCCACCCAGUGUUCCCAUCAAUACGAUGAGAAUAAUGAGGACAAUAGCCACCACGUCCGGCAAACUCAGGCGUGAGCUGCGAGGACUCGGUACCGCCCGGCAGGGAAAAAGCAGGGCCUGGAGGCCGAGGAGCCCCACCCGCACCCACCACGUGGAGCCGGCCGGGCCUGCGGCGAAGCCACAGGGCGACUCCCGGGGCGCGGAGCGGGGCGGGGGCGGGACUAGCACGGCCCCACUCUGCCGACGCCUCUCCCAGGUCGCGACACCGGCGAGCCGCUCC